UGCACUGUAGACUCUGAGCGGUACAGGGCUGGGAGUAAAUGUCGGGAGCGGCCAGAGGACUCUACGCUCAGCCAGCCAAUGGCCAGGGAACGGGGGCGGGACCUCGGGAUGUCCGGCCAAUAGGAGCACGGAGGGGCAGAAGGGCGACCCCACUCCACGGCGGUGGGGGUUCGUAGCCCCAGCCCCCGGCCUGUGCAAUGUGGGGUCCUCCGGGUGCCGAGGCGUGCGUGGCGGCGCUCGGAGGCGUGCUCUUUUUGCUGUUCUUCGCGUUUGGGAUCCGCCAGCUGCUGAAGCAGAGGCGGCCCACUGGCUUCCCUCCCGGGCCGUCGGGGCUGCCAUUUAUCGGCAACAUCUACUCGCUGGCCGCCUCAGGCGAGCUGCCCCACGUCUACAUGAGAAAGCAGAGCCAGGUGUACGGCGAGAUCUUCAGUUUAGAUCUUGGAGGAAUAUCAACUGUGGUUUUAAAUGGCUAUGAUGUAGUAAAAGAAUGCCUUGUUCAUCAAAGUGAGAUUUUUGCAGACAGACCAUGCCUUCCUUUAUUCAUGAAGAUGACAAAAAUGGGAGGCUUACUUAAUUCCAGAUAUGGUCGAGGAUGGAUUGAUCACAGAAGAUUAGCUGUAAAUAGCUUUCGCUAUUUUGGAUAUGGUCAAAAGUCUUUUGAAUCUAAAAUCUUAGAAGAAACCAAAUUUUUUAUUGAUGUUAUUGAAACAUACAAAGGUAGACCUUUUGACUUGAAACAAUUAAUAACAAAUGCUGUUUCAAACAUAACCAAUCUGAUCAUUUUUGGAGAACGAUUCACUUAUGAAGACACUGAUUUUCAGCACAUGAUUGAGUUAUUCAGUGAAAAUGUGGAACUGGCUGCCAGUGCCUCCGUCUUCCUGUAUAAUGCCUUUCCAUGGAUUGGCAUCUUACCUUUUGGAAAACAUCAACAGCUAUUUAGAAAUGCAGCUGUGGUCUAUGAUUUUCUCUCCAGGCUUGUUGAAAAAGCUUCCAUCAACAGAAAGCCUCAGUUACCUCAGCAUUUCGUUGAUGCUUAUUUGGAUGAGAUGGAUCAAGGUAAAAAUGACCCAUCAUCUACUUUCUCCAGAGAAAAUCUUAUUUUUUCCGUGGGUGAACUCAUCAUUGCUGGAACCGAAACUACAACCAAUGUGCUACGGUGGGCAAUUCUUUUCAUGGCCCUUUAUCCUAACAUUCAAGGACAAGUUCAGAAAGAGAUCGAUUUAAUUAUGGGACCCACUGGGAAGCCUUCUUGGGAUGACAAAUGCAAAAUGCCUUAUACCGAGGCAGUUUUGCAUGAAGUUUUAAGAUUCUGUAAUAUAGUGCCAUUAGGGAUUUUCCACGCAACCUCUGAAGAUGCAGUCGUACGCGGUUAUUCCAUUCCUAAAGGCACGACAGUAAUUACCAAUCUUUAUUCUGUACACUUUGAUGAAAAGUACUGGAGAAACCCAGAAAUAUUCUAUCCUGAGCGUUUUCUGGACAGCAGUGGCUAUUUUGCCAAGAAAGAAGCUUUGGUUCCUUUUUCCUUGGGGAGAAGACACUGUCUUGGAGAACAGCUGGCUCGGAUGGAAAUGUUCCUGUUUUUUACAACAUUGCUUCAGAGGUUUCACCUGCAUUUUCCACAUGAACUGGUUCCAGAUCUGAAGCCCAGAUUAGGCAUGACAUUGCAACCCCAGCCCUACCUCAUCUGUGCAGAAAGGCGCUGAAAGUGCGUGGAUGUUUUCUGGGAAAAGGCUAUCUGGUUGCCUUUUACCUCUGAACCUUGUUUAUCUAAUCAGUGUGCGCGUUUGGACAAAAAUCACAGCAUCAUAAAGCCAAAUGAACACAGGAGGGAAAAAGUCCUGGGUAGAUACACUUCAAUGGGACAUUUGGAGGUAGUAUGGCAGUUUUAGGGUGAGUAUGUCCUACAUGCUCCAUACUACAAAGAUCUGCUUGCUCACAUCCCUCGAUUUGGCUUCCCAGAUGGCAUCAGCUUUAUCUUAAGGCAGACUCGUGGAAGUACAUGUGCUUUAUUCUCCUCCUUGUAGAGACAUGGGAGCUUUUCAGAUAUUCCCCCAGAACUGUUCUUUGUGUCCCAUUGGUCCUAACUAAGUUACAUGCCCAUCUUUUAAAACUCUGUCUUUUGAGUGGGAUUAUGGUUCACUUAGGCCUGACUUCUAGAGCCCGUGAUGGAGUUGGCUUCUCCCAAAGUACAUGUGCUACCCUGGGGAAGUAUAGUUACCUAAACAGAAAUAAGGAGAGUUAUGAAGAGAAGAGGAACUCCUGACUAGCAGACCAAUUACAAUGUCCACUUCACUGCCCCCUGACCACUUGCUAGGCCCAGCAGCUAUCCUACCUGCCUCCCUGCCUCUAGACAAAUGUGUUCAUUCAAGUUGCUUUUUGAUCUUUCUCUUCCUUUGAUGAGCAAAUCUCUCAUCCCUGGGCCUCGUGCUUACUGUCAUAUCUCCUCUGAAUGCCUGAGGUGAACUUCUGAGACUGGAGAUUCUGGAGGGUUGGUGGUCUUAGCAAAGAAAUUUACUGAACUGGAAUAGAUUGUAAUCAAAAUUAAGGAGGAUUCUUUUGCUCCUGAAUGCUACCACUAUUUCUUUUAGGAUGACCUUCAUAAACCUACAGAGAAUGAAAAACAUACUAUUUAUUUUCUUUACUUUGUACCCAUUUCUUACGUUACAUUUUUUCUUACUGAGGUCAGUGCGAACUUGACAAAAUCAUUUAAAAAUGCAGAUUCAUAGCUUGUUAAAUGUAAAAGAGCUUUCAUCUCAUUGUGCUCAUUUUAUAGCCAAAGAAAUAGGAGUUCAGAGAGAAAAUGAUUCCUGUAGUUCAUAGCAGACACAUGUCCUUCAUCCUAAUGAUU